GUGAGGAAUAUUGCGCAAUGGAGGCAACUCUGACGCAGCCAUGUCGCGUGCAGGAAGAAGGCGCUACGCGUUGUAAACUGCUUUUAACCGGGAAGAAACCCCAGGACGUGUCCUGGGUUGACGGUACCGGAGGAAUAAGCACCGGCUAACUUCGUGCCAGCAGCCGCGGUAAUACGAAGGGUGCAAGCGUUAUCCGGAUUCAUUGGGUUUAAAGGGUGCGUAGGCGGAGCGUUAAGUCAGUGGUGAAAUCCUGCAGCUUAACUGUAGACUUGCCAUUGAUACUGGCGCUCUUGAGUGCGCUUGAAGUGGGCGGAAUGUGCCGUGUAGCGGUGAAAUGCUUAGAUAUGGCACAGAACACCAAUUGCGAAGGCAGCUCACUAAGGCGAUACUGACGCUGAGGCACGAAAGCGUGGGGAUCGAACAGGAUUAGAUACCCGAGUAGUCC
rnacentral:rRNA from 1 species